GUUCGUAAGCGUAAAAGUUAAGUCAAAUUUGUAUGGAGUUGGAACGUUUGCCUAGGUUUGCCGCUAGGGGCGCUGUUCCAGCUGCAUACUUCAGAUAACUUUUACGCUAUCGA
rnacentral:pre_miRNA from 9 species